rnacentral:rRNA from 1 species
GACGAACGCUGGCGGCGUGCCUAAUACAUGCAAGUCGAACGCAGUGGGGACGGGUGAGUAACAUGUGGGUAACCUCGCAUAUGAGGGGAUAACCCUUGGAAACUGGUGCUAAUCCGAUACUGAUGGAGGAACCCGCGGUGCAUUAGCUAGUUGGUGAGGUAACGGCUCACCAAGGCCACGAUGCAUAGCCGACCUGAGAGGGUGAUCGGCCAAACUGGGACGGAGACACGGCCCAGACGCCUACGUGAGGCAGCAGUAGGGAAUCUUCGACAAUGGACGAAAGUCUGACCGAGCAACGCCGCGUGAGUGAAGAAGGUUUUCGGAUCGUAAAACUCUGUUGUUAGAGAAGCGGUAUCUAACCAGAAAGCAACGGCUAACUACGUGCCAGCAGCCGCGGUAAUAC